GGCGAGUGAAGCGGCAACAGCUCAAAUUUGAAAUCUGGUCACCUUACGGAGGCCCGAGUUGUAAUUUGAAGAGGAUGCUUUUGGCGAGGUGCCUUCCGAGUGCCCUGGAACGGGACGCCACAGAGGGUGAGAGCCCCGUAUGGUUGGACACCGAGCCUAUGUAAAGCUCCUUCGACGAGUCGAGUAGUUUGGGAAUGCUGCUCAAAAUGGGAGGUAAACCCCUUCUAAAGCUAAAUAUUGGCCAGAGACCGAUAGCGCACAAGUAGAGUGAUCGAAAGAUGAAAAGCACUUUGAAAAGAGAGUUAAACAGCACGUGAAAUUGUUGAAAGGGAAGCGCUUGCGACCAGACUUGCGCCCGUCGGAUCAACCGUCGCUUGUCGGCGGCGCACUCCGGCGGGCUCAGGCCAGCAUCAGUUUUCCCGGGGGGAGAAAGGCGGUGGGAAUGUAGCUCCUAGGAGUGUUAUAGCCCGCCGCGUAAUACCCUCGGGGGGACUGAGGACCGCGCAUCUGCAAGGAU
rnacentral:rRNA from 1 species